rnacentral:rRNA from 1 species
CAGGCUUAACACAUGCAAGUCGUGGGGCAGCAUGGUCUUAGCUUGCUAAGGCCGAUGGCGACCGGCGCACGGGUGAGUAACACGUAUCCAACCUGCCGUCUACUCUUGGACAGCCUUCUGAAAGGAAGAUUAAUACAAGAUGGCAUCAUGAGUCCGCAUGUUCACAUGAUUAAAGGUAUUCCGGUAGACGAUGGGGAUGCGUUCCAUUAGAUAGUAGGCGGGGUAACGGCCCACCUAGUCUUCGAUGGAUAGGGGUUCUGAGAGGAAGGUCCCCCACAUUGGAACUGAGACACGGUCCAAACUCCUACGGGAGGCAGCAGUGAGGAAUAUUGGUCAAUGGGCGAGAGCCUGAACCAGCCAAGUAGCGUGAAGGAUGACUGCCCUAUGGGUUGUAAACUUCUUUUAUAAAGGAAUAAAGUCGGGUAUGGAUACCCGUUUGCAUGUACUUUAUGAAUAAGGAUCGGCUAACUCCGUGCCAGCAGCCGCGGUAAUACGGAGGAUCCGAGCGUUAUCCGGAUUUAUUGGGUUUAAAGGGAGCGUAGAUGGAUGUUUAAGUCAGUUGUGAAAGUUUGCGGCUCAACCGUAAAAUUGCAGUUGAUACUGGAUAUCUUGAGUGCAGUUGAGGCAGGCGGAAUUCGUGGUGUAGCGGUGAAAUGCUUAGAUAUCACGAAGAACUCCGAUUGCGAAGGCAGCCUGCUAAGCUGCAACUGACAUUGAGGCUCGAAAGUGUGGGUAUCAAACAGGAUUAGAUACCCUGGUAGUCCACACGGUAAACGAUGAAUACUCGCUGUUUGCGAUAUACUGCAAGCGGCCAAGCGAAAGCGUUAAGUAUUCCACCUGGGGAGUACGCCGGCAACGGUGAAACUCAAAGGAAUUGACGGGGGCCCGCACAAGCGGAGGAACAUGUGGUUUAAUUCGAUGAUACGCGAGGAACCUUACCCGGGCUUAAAUUGCAGAUGAAUUACGGUGAAAGCCGUAAGCCGCAAGGCAUCUGUGAAGGUGCUGCAUGGUUGUCGUCAGCUCGUGCCGUGAGGUGUCGGCUUAAGUGCCAUAACGAGCGCAACCCUUGUUGUCAGUUACUAACAGGUUCCGCUGAGGACUCUGACAAGACUGCCAUCGUAAGAUGUGAGGAAGGUGGGGAUGACGUCAAAUCAGCACGGCCCUUACGUCCGGGGCUACACACGUGUUACAAUGGGGGGUACAGAGGGCCGCUACCACGCGAGUGGAUGCCAAUCCCCAAAACCUCUCUCAGUUCGGACUGGAGUCUGCAACCCGACUCCACGAAGCUGGAUUCGCUAGUAAUCGCGCAUCAGCCACGGCGUGGUGAAUACGUUCCCGGGCCUUGUACACACCGCCCGUCAAGCCAUGGGAGCCGGGGGUACCUGAAGUGCGUAACCGCGAGGAGCGCCCUAGGGUAAAACUGGUGACUGG